GCCUUGUGAGCAUGGGGGGAAAGCUGUUUGUAACUGCUGGGCAGCAGACGAGCUGUGAGGUCAUAACUGUGUUCUGUGUGUGCUCUGGAUAAGAAGAGCUCAGGUUCCAUGGCAUGAGUCCACGGCUCUUUUGCUAACCGCAAGGGAAACAAAGAUUCUCACUUGUGCUCCAGGGGAAUCUUCUGGGAGGGACGAGCGCUUCCUUCCCACUGCUGGCUCCAAGGGAUCCAUCCUCUCUUUGCUCUGUGCAACCUCUGCGUUCCCCCGGGCGCAUCGUUUGCGGUGCUGGGGGCAGGAAGGGCACCCCCUGAGUCCCAACCAUCACUGCCAGCCACCUUCUAGCCUCUCGCUGCUUUUUGAAGCCUUUCUGCUCAGGGAAAGCCCUCCUCACAGAGCCAACCCUGUUGAAAGCAAAACAUGUUUAGCAAAAACAUUCCUGGAAACGGCUUGUGCUCACGCACCGCUCCGCCAACAUCGGUACGGCUUCUCCUCCGAUCAGCGCCAGCCCCGGCGCUGCUGCCAAGCCAGGAAAGUUUGACAAUGAAAGGAUUCCAUCAUCACUCUCGCACACAUUUCCUAACGCUUAUUUGAAUGCUCAAACAUCUGGGAGAGAUACACGCUCCGCUCCCAGAGCCGUUUGCUUUGGCUGUGCUGGAAGGGCCGCGCGGGGCGGCAGCGCCUGUGUGGGCUGCAGCUCUGCUCAAGUUGGAAGUGCGAGGAGAGAAUUAUUUUCAAAGUGCAUGACAAGCAAUUAACAGCUUCC